rnacentral:rRNA from 1 species
AUUGAACGCUGGCGGCAUGCCUUACACAUGCAAGUCGAACGGCAGCGCGGGGCAACCUGGCGGCGAGUGGCGAACGGGUGAGUAAAAUAUCGGAACAUACCCUAGAGUGGGGGAUAACGUAGCGAAAGUUACGCUAAUACCGCAUACGCACUAAGGUGGAAAGUGGGGGAUCUUCGGACCUCAUGCUCAUGGAGUGGCCGAUAUCUGAUUAGCUAGUUGGUGAGGUAAAGGCUCACCAAGGCGACGAUCAGUAGCUGGUUUGAGAGAACGACCAGCCACACUGGAACUGAGACACGGUCCAGACUCCUACGGGAGGCAGCAGUGGGGAAUUUUGGACAAUGGGGGCAACCCUGAUCCAGCAAUGCCGCGUGAGUGAAGAAGGCCUU